AAUCCCUACCAAACGGGGCUAUAAUUUGAUGAAAAAGUUAAUUGUAUUUUAGUCAGUCCAAUAAUAAAAUGUCAUGUGACAUUAUGUCAACCUAUGACAUGAUUCAAACUUAGUUGGCUCAGCUUGUGUACACAUUUUCUUGGAACCUCAGGCCAAAAGCACAAGUCCAACGUGUGCACAUCUAUGUUCCGCUCGAAGUAUCAAAAUGUAAGAUGUGUAGCUUGCCAUGAAGAAUCGAAUUUGAUUGAUAAGAGUUUAGUACUUUAAUUUAUGGGAAGUUGCACUUUGUAAUAGUUCAAGUAGUGUUCUAGCAAUUAGCAACACUUCAUAAUUAAUUUGAAAGGCGUGACCUUUCAUGCAAAGGGGAAUUUAUAUUAAUAUAAAUCUCUUUUUAUAUUCACUGUGAAAAGUUAGUACGAGCCUGUUUGAGUCACAUUAUUUCUAAAAAAUACAUUUUUAAACAGUGAUUUGACAU
rnacentral:lncRNA from 1 species